rnacentral:rRNA from 1 species
GACGAACGCUGGCGGCGUGCUUAACACAUGCAAGUCGAACGGAAAGGCCCUGCUUUUGUGGGGUGCUCGAGUGGCGAACGGGUGAGUAACACGUGAGUAACCUGCCCUUGACUUUGGGAUAACUUCAGGAAACUGGGGCUAAUACCGGAUAGGAGCUCCUGCUGCAUGGUGGGGGUUGGAAAGUUUCGGCGGUUGGGGAUGGACUCGCGGCUUAUCAGCUUGUUGGUGGGGUAGUGGCUUACCAAGGCUUUGACGGGUAGCCGGCCUGAGAGGGUGACCGGCCACAUUGGGACUGAGAUACGGCCCAGACUCCUACGGGAGGCAGCAGUGGGGAAUAUUGCACAAUGGGCUGAAGCCUGAUGCAGCAACGCCGCGUGCGGGAUGACGGCCUUCGGGUUGUAAACCGCAUUCGCCUGUGACGAAGCGUGAGUGACGGUAAUGGGUAAAGAAGCACCGGCUAACUACGUG